UACGUAGGGGGCUAGCGUUGUCCGGAAUCAUUGGGCGUAAAGAGCGUGUAGGCGGCCCGGUAAGUCCGCUGUGAAAGUCGGGGGCUCAACCCUCGAAAGCCGGUGGAUACUGUCGGGCUAGAGUGCGGAAGAGGCGAGUGGAAUUCCUGGUGUAGCGGUGAAAUGCGCAGAUAUCAGGAGGAACACCAGUGGCGAAGGCGGCUCUCUGGGACGGUACUGACGCUGAGACGCGAAAGCGUGGGGAGCGAACAGG
rnacentral:rRNA from 1 species